rnacentral:rRNA from 1 species
GUGCCAGCAGCCGCGGUAAUACGGAGGGUGCAAGCGUUAUCCGGAAUCACUGGGUUUAAAGGGUGCGUAGGCGGAAUAUUAAGUCAGUGGUGAAAGCCUGUCGCUUAACGAUAGAACUGCCAUUGAUACUGAUAUUCUUGAAUUGGGUUGAGGUUAGCGGAAUGUGACAUGUAGCGGUGAAAUGCAUAGAUAUGUCAUGGAACACCAAUUGCGAAGGCAGCUAGCUGGGCCUUGAUUGACGCUGAGGCACGAAAGCGUGGGUAGCGAACAGGAUUAGAAACCCCCGUAGUCC